CAGGUCGUCGGUCGAGGCUGUUUCUUAUUUUCCCCUUUAUUUUCUUCAUCAUUUCUCUGAGUUUAAUUUUCAUCUUCAGCUUGAAAAAUUGCUCCAAAAACUCAAAAUUUCAAGAGAACCUGCAGAGAGCCUCUGCCUUGCAGUUUGGAUGCCUUGCUCAAGAGCAGACCUGUGUUGAUGUGGAGCAGAACUCAAUGAUUCCUGAUGAACCGCGGCGUCAUGAAAACUGUGGAGGUUGAGUCGAUCAAUCUGAGACUAUCGAUGAAACCAGGUUCUUCAUAAAGCAGCUCACAGACUCUGCAGGAAUCCCACAAACUUUCUGAUAAACAUGAGAAAUGUUCUGGGUUGAUCCAGCAGAAGCUCGUCUGCUGUUGGAUGAACUGUGCAGAGCAGCUCUGCCAUCGUCUGUCUGAGCCGUCUGAGCCGCAGCAUCAGAGCCGCAGCAUCAGAGCCGCAGCAUCAGAGCCGCAGCAUCAGAGCCGCACCGCUAAAGCCCGAUGAAGAGGUUCUGAUCUGGAGAUGAUUGAAUUACUGAUAAAAUCAGAAACAUUAUGGACAAUCCUGACCAUCCUCUUUAUGACACUGUCUUGGGAAGGCAGAGUAUCUCCAGUCAGAGGCUUCUUCAGAUUCAGUGCAGCACAGACUGUUGCAGGAGAUCUUUUCCUCACCAUCUACAAUAACUCUGAAGAAUUAAUGAGCUACAUUAAUUCUUCAGAGUUAAUGUACCUUAACUCUACAUUCCAUUUUGAUUGAAAUGUAUUUUUGAAUUUGAAUUUUCUAGGAUUGUUUUAACUUAUUUUACUUCUGCUUAGUGUCACAAUAUAUGAUCUGGUAUCAUCUUUCAGUUUGAUGCAUUUUAUUUAUUUUGAGUCUGUAGAUCAGAUCAGGCUGUGAAACGUUAGGAAAUAUUUUGAAUGUAUGUGUGAAAAAAUAGUGUGAUGUGAAGUAUUUUUCAUUGAUGCACUUUAUUUGCAAUUAUUUUGUCAUCUGGAUUUUAAUGUCUGCACUAAACACUAAAACAAAUCCCUCAAUGUGAAAGUCUGAGUUGUUUUCCUUGCAGUUGACCUGCUGUGGUCUCAUGAUGGACUGUAAUUUAUUUUCCCAUCACUUCCUGGAGAAGGGAUGUUUUUUAGAGAAAUGCUGGGGAUUUUAAUCCUCCUGGAUUAAAUGGAUUUUUUUAAACUAAUUUAUUUUGCUCGUUGGAGACUUAAAGCAUUUAAUUGGUACUAAAUGAUUCUCAGUAUUGGGUGAUAAAAACCUUAUCAAGUUAAUAAAUUAAGCAUAAAUGUUUCUGACUUAAAUAUUUAUUUUUUCUACUGCUGAAUGUUUUUUGCAAUAAAGUGAACU